rnacentral:lncRNA from 1 species
CUCUCUUGUACUCUAUCAGCUUCCUAAGUCACAUGCUGCUAGGGCAGAUCCACAGACAUCUGUGAAAGAGACAGAGAGGAGAUGACUGGACUCUCAGGUGGGCUCCUGGGAAACCGCACAAAACCCAGAAGAGAUGGGACAGGACAUGGCGGCUCAUACCUGUAAUCCCAAUAUUUGGAAGCUUGAGGCAGGAGGAUUACUACAAGUUUGGCCACAGCAAAGACUGCAGUGAGAGUCCUGCAUCUACAGAGUGAGACUCCACUCAUAACAAAACCAAAAAGUCUAACAUGGCAAGGAAAUUAAGAAAGGAAGAUCCCAAACACAAGGCAGCUGGGUGCUACCUGGUCCUAGAGCUCUUUGUUGCCUUAUGUAUUGAAUAGUCUUGAUUGUCAAUGCAACAGGAUCUAGAAUCACCAUGGAAACAAGCUUCUGCAUGUCUGUGAAGCGUUUUUUAGAUUAGGUUAGUGGAGGCAGGGAAACACUAAAUGUAAGCAGCACCUUGCCAUGAGCUGGAGUUCUACACUAAAGAAAAAGAAGUUGAGGACCAUGGUAUUCUGAAAAAAGGUUGCAGAUACUAGAAGAAGUGAGUCAGGCUUUAAGCAGAAGCAAGAAGGUUUAAGGAUACACACACACACAGAGUCUUACUCUACAGACUAGGUAAACCUCAACAACAGGCAAUCCUAGUGCCUCAACCUCCCAAGUGCUUCCAGAACUGGUGUGAGCUACCACACCAGACUUGAUCAGCAUUGGUUUGGAUGUGAAGUGUCAAGCUUACAAUACAAUCUCCAACUCCUAUUCAGUUUAUGGAAUAAAACAAGCUUUAGUGGCUGCUCUCCAGGCUCACAGCAGCGCCGGAUGAGAGAAUCCAAAUCGAGAAGCACUGACACCAGGAGAUAACAACAACCUAAUUACAAGGAAGAAACACAAAGCCUAAAGGAAGCAGCCCCCAAGCUGGGCAUGCUCACACUGCACCCGGGAAGCUUGAGAACCCAGAGCCAGCCUGAGCUAUGUAACAAACCCAGUCACAAAGAUACAAUAAAGCAAUCCUCUAGA